rnacentral:rRNA from 1 species
UACGAAGGGGGCUAGCGGUGUUCGGAAUUACUGGGCGUAAAGCGUGCGCAGGCGGCCUUCCAAGUCAGGGGGGAAAGCCCAGAGCUCAACUCUGGAAUUGCCUUUGAGACUGUGAGGCUUGAGUACGGGAGAGGUGAGUGGAAUUCCCAGUGUAGAGGUGAAAUUCGUAGAUAUUGGGAAGAACACCGGUGGCGAAGGCGGCUCACUGGCCCGAAACUGACGCUCAUGCACGACAGCGUGGGGAGCAAACAGG